GUCUACGGCCAUACCACCCUGAACGCGCCCAAUCUCGUCUGAUCUCGGAAGCUAAGCAGGGUCGGGCCUGGUUAGUACUUGGAUGGGAGAAUUAUUUGGAUAUGAAUGGAAACAUGACU
ensembl:rRNA 5S_rRNA 5S ribosomal RNA